rnacentral:rRNA from 1 species
GGCUGCGCAGCUUACACAUGCAGUCGAGCGCACUCUUCGGAGUGAGCGGCGGACGGGUUAGUAACGCGUGGGAACGUGCCCUUCUCUAAGGAAUAGCCACUGGAAACGGUGAGUAAUACCUUAUACGCCCUUCGGGGGAAAGAUUUAUCGGAGAAGGAUCGGCCCGCGUUAGAUUAGAUAGUUGGUGGGGUAAUGGCCUACCAAGUCUACGAUCUAUAGCUGGUUUUAGAGGAUGAUCAGCAACACUGGGACUGAGACACGGCCCAGACUCCUACGGGAGGCAGCAGUGGGGAAUCUUGGACAAUGGGCGCAAGCCUGAUCCAGCCAUGCCGCGUGAGUGAUGAAGGCCUUAGGGUCGUAAAGCUCUUUCGCCAGAGAUGAUAAUGACAGUAUCUGGUAAAGAAACCCCGGCUAACUCCGUGCCAGCAGCCGCGGUAAUACGGAGGGGGUUAGCGUUGUUCGGAAUUACUGGGCGUAAAGCGCACGUAGGCGGAUCAGAAAGUAUAGGGUGAAAUCCCAGGGCUCAACCCUGGAACUGCCUUGUAAACUCCUGGUCUUGAGUUCGAGAGAGGUGAGUGGAAUUCCGAGUGUAGAGGUGAAAUUCGUAGAUAUUCGGAGGAACACCAGUGGCGAAGGCGGCUCACUGGCUCGAUACUGACGCUGAGGUGCGAAAGUGUGGGGAGCAAACAGGAUUAGAUACCCUGGUAGUC